rnacentral:tRNA from 10 species
CUCUUUUGUCACCAACACAAGCACCUGAGUGGAUGCCUUGGAUCAACGGACAGGGAACUUGGGAAUCAGCUUCUUGGGGCAAGAUCACCUCUUCUAUUUGACCCAUAUGGAUAUGGAAAAACCAAGGCCAAGGGAAGAAAAUGGCCUGUCCAAACUUCCUGGGUCAGGCUGGCUUAGUGUGAAUAAGGAAACCAGCGUCUGCACCCUCACAGCUGCACUCCCAGCCCCACCAAGGAAACCCAUCUUACUGUGGCCUGAGUGGUAGCCAUUUGAAGAACCUGACCCUCUGGGACUCAGAAUCAACCCCCGUGAUGACUUGUUUCAUGUCCUAGUUUGGGUAACCAUGUUUCUUCUUUGUUCUGGGACGCACACUCAUUUUUAGUUUUAGCUGAAGUUUCUGAGAGUUCUUAUGGAACUGACCACUACCUAAUUCCUUUAGGAAUGAGCUCUAUUCAACCUUAUUAUUUAGGACUAUUCCUUUGGCAGUGAAUUAAACUCAAUGGAGAUGGGCUUAAACUAGAUACAAGGAGACUUGCAGCAGUCCAGAGCUGUAAAGUCCAACGGUGCUUCCAGGGAGCUGCGUAGCAUUAUUCAGGCUUGGUUUCUUUCUAUCUCUCCUCCACGUUGGCUUUCUAUUUAGGGACUCUCUCUCCUUCUGGUGCCCCCUAAGCCAACCCCUAGUUUCAUCUAGUUGCUGGAACUAACUCAGCAAUAUCAUCAGAAAGAAAGCUUCCUUCCCCCCUCCAAAUUCCAGUGCUUUCUCCAUUGGACCCGAGUGAGAGUCACACUCAUCCCCAGGUAUGUGGGAAUGGGGUAAGUCAACCUCACCUGAACCAUAUGGACUGAGAGAGGAAGAGUAAAUUUUCCUAAGAGAAGUCAUGGAUGCUCGUUAUCAGAAAAAGGGGAGAUAGAGUUUGUGUGGGCAAACCAGCAGAUGCUCAAGAUGUCUCUCCUGCCCUCUCUCACCCUGGUUUGGCAUUCUAUCCCUGACUACCCUUGGCCUGGAGUCCGGCCCUGAAGGCUGCCGACAGACCUCUCCAAAUAUGACUGAUCUUAAACACUUUUAAGGAUUAGCUGUUCACUUUUUCUCCUUCAUAUUGGAGUUCUCCACCCUCCCUCUAACAGAGAUGGUCCACCUGGGUUAUCACCUGCUGUUGCUCUACCUUGUGACUCUUAACCAUGAAUAAUGGACAAGAAAGCCUCCCUGCAUGCUCUGCUAUCUACAGACAAAUGGUAUGAAGAAGGACAGGGGCAAAGUGAGCUGGAGCAGAUGGAAAUCUUCUAGUCUUUAUUUCAGAAAAUUUUAUUUUAAGACAGCAUUGAAUAGUUUGUUUGGUUAUUUUCUCCAGGAACACCAAUUAUACAGUCAUCCAAUGGCUCUGUCUGGUCCCAUGUCCCAUUCCUUCCCCGUUAACCCCAACCUGGGUCAAUAAAUGGGGACGGAUCCAACGGGCAUCAGAUCACGACCAAUGCCCCACAGCAAGUAAAUGGCUCCUCUGGGACUUGCAGCCAGUUCUCUAGGCUCACCUGCCCUUUGCACUAUUCCAAAGAGCCAACGACACUGGAAAAUCAAACAAAGAAAUUAACAUAAAGAAGCUCCGAGUGUGAAUAUGUCAGCCAGCCUACAAUCAGAAGAGAAGAAUCAAAAGCAGAAUCAAGGCUGCUAUUGGGCGUUGUCGUUAUAGAUGGGCACCCUCGUACUGCCAUCUGAGGAGCAAGUUCUUUGACAGGUGGGGGAAGCACUGACUUCAUUAGCUCGUGUGAGAGUGAAGGGGGGAGAUGUCCCUGGGAACUUCUGGCAGCCUUGAGGGAAAAGGAUGGUGACGUUGUGUUUCAUAUUGAACUUGGCAUACAUGGGAGUGAUGGGGGUGUUCAUAGGAGAUCAGAUGGCACUUCCAGUUUGUCUGCAAGAGCCUAAUUACUGACCUGACACCCGUUUCUUCAAAUAGGCCCGGGAAGCAGCUAACUGGUGUAUGGAAGCAUCUGGUAGUGCAAUUACCCUGUCAGCUCUUUAUCCACUUGUAGCCCUGUCAUUAGACACUUCUUUUCCUUGAUAUGCUUAAAAUGUAGAGUUACCAACCAGAGCAAUUUAAAAUGAUAUAUAGUUAUUUUUUUCUCUCCUCUCCUGUCGAGGGAGAACUUCAUAAAUGAUGUCACAAUAAACGGAAUGUGAGAGAAACCUCAGAAAUGAAAUUUGUAAGGAUAGAGACGGCGGGAGGAAGAGAAAGAUCAUGCCAGGGCUCCCGAGUGCUAAUGAAUUAAUGGAGAAGCCAAGUUAAUGAGUGCCGAGGAGGAGCUGUUGUCAGAGGUUUCGAGGUAAUAGUGAAGAGUUAUGGAGCCAGGAGGCAGAGCCUGGAGUGUUCAAAGUGGCCCCCAUGGCUCUAGAAAGGGAAGGUAGAAAAAUUAGGGAGAUAGGUCUCCAGGCUAGGUAAAGAGUCAGGAAGACAAGGAGAAUGCUGAGAACGAUGGGAGUCCUGCAGCCCUGGAGAGAUGUUGAAGGUGGAAGACGGAGAGCCCAUGGGGAGCUUGCACACUAUUAUUUGUAUAGGAAUAGGGAGAAAGAAAUGCAAGUGCAGGAGCAGAGUCUUUCAAGACUGCUCUCAGGUAAGUAAGGAGAGUUUCAACAAUGGAGAGUGGGGCUGGGCAUGGUGGCUCACACCUGUAAUCUCAGUACUUUGGGAGGUUGAGGAGGGCAGAUUGCUUGAGCUGAGGAGUUUGAGAACAGCCUGGACAACAGGGAGAAACCCCGUUUCCACAAAAAAAGUACAAAAAUUAACAGGGCGUGUUGGUGCACACCUGUAGUCCCAGCUACUCAGGAGGCUGAGGUGGGAGAAUCGCUUGAUCCCAGGAGGUCAAGGCUACAGUGAGCUGUGAUCAUACCGCUGAACUCCAGCCUGGGCAACAAAGUAAGACUCUCUGACAAAAAAAAAAAAAAAGAAAAAAAAAAGAUGGAGAAGGGGUGAUUAAAGAUUGUAGGAAAGGUAUAUGAAUUUGGGGACAUAAGGUGACUUGCAACUGUGUUUUGACUUAAUUUAUCCCCUGAGUCUGUAUUUGAAAACGGAAGGAUUUAAAACUCAGAGAGGUUUAAUUAUUUGCCCAGGGCUCACACAGCUCCCAGUUGUGGUACAACUCAGAUUCUGCUCAACACUUUCAGAAUUUGCUAUAAAAAUGCAGAUGCUGUCUUGGGCUCAGAAAACUCACAGCCUCAGCAGGGGAGGCAGAUAUGCACCCCAAGAACAAUAUAUCAUGGGAAAAGUUAAAGUAGAAUUUCUUCCAGAUUUAUAUCCAGGCUUCUCUCCCACCAGGCUGCUAUUUCCCCUACCAGAUGGUUGUGGGCAUCAACUAAGACCAAGGAUGUGAACAGUUUUGUAAACUCCAGAGGUCUCUAGAAAAAUUGCAGCAAUUCUCCUUGUGGUUCUCUGAAUAGCCUCAAAAGAACAGCAGUGCUGCUCAAUUUAUUUAGAUGAAAACUUAAGGCAAACAGGUAAUCCUGGUUGUCCAAGUACCAACGACAUCUUUUGCACCUCCAGAUUGCCAUUGCUUUCCUUGGUGUGUCUCUUGCUUCCAUCACUCUUUCUGCAAGAACCCGUUUGGCAUCUACUGCAUGUGAGGUCCUGUGCUGGUGCUGGGAGCGUGACGUUGAAGAGCAAAGCCAAAGUGGUUUCAAGGAGCUUUCAGCCUGGGAAGAGCAGCUGACACUUAUCAACAACCCCUCAUGUGGACAUUAGUUAUGAUGCAGAAUUGUUUUCUUACCUUGGUGCCUUCCAUUGCAUUGCCUUCCUCAUCUCCUAGAUGAUGAAUUUCUCUUGUAAAGUUCUGUCUUGCCUGUGAAAAUAACCCCAAUUGCACAAAGUAGGGGAGAUCAGCCUAAGCCCUGGGUCCUUGGUGGGUGCUGUGCACACCUCCGUGGAAGCACUCCCACAUUCUGUGGCAGUCUUACUGCCCCUUUGUUCAAUGGAGUGGCUUGUCCACACUAAGAGGGGAGGUAAGUCUGAUUCAGCACUGAAAACCCAGCACCAAUAGGGCAAGUGGCAUAAGUGAGAAUUCAAAAACGAUUUAUUGAUUGUAUAAAUUAAUAUCUGAUGUUUAAGGGAGUGAAUUUUCUUUUUCUGAAUUUACUAUGUAUAACCGACCUGAAUGAUAACUGUCUUCUCAUAAAUAAUGGAUAGCAGUCAUUUUAGGGGCUCCACAAAUCUCAGAAUUGAUCACAUUGCUCUUUUUCUGUGGCCUCUAGGAAGCUCAGAGCCUACUUUUAGCAAAAUAUGGAACCAUCUGGCUUGCAUUUUCAGUUACUUACCUAAGCAAUAGUUUUUUUUUCCUUCUUACUAUAGGAUCACACUGAUUUCUUUCCAUGCUAUUCUAUUCUAUAGAAUAGAAUUGAAACCACUUUUGCUAUGCUAUUCUAUUCCAUAGCAUAAACAUGGAAAGAAAGGAGAGUUAAUAGACAUCUUUUAAAGUGAUCUGGUUAUUAGAGUCAUCUGGGUGGCCGUACUCCUUAAGUUGCUUAGUCAUUGACUGCAGAGUCAUAGCAUAUUCAUAAAUGAUAACGUUCCUUCUCUUAUUCUCCCUGAGGGUCUCUUAGGCAAAAUACGGUAUUGUACACAAGCACAUUCAGAUAAAAAAUCCUAUAGUUGGUGAUAACUUCGAGUGAUAGAAUCUUAAUAAACUUCCUGUGUUUGAUUGGGUGAGAUAACUAGAGAUACAUAUCAUGUGUGAUCGCUGCACGACAGAAGAUAAGCUGGUCAUUAUUUUCAGAUAAAAAUGCCCAUCCAUCCACAGAUUGCAAUCAGGGGGCUGCCAUGCAGUUCUUGGUCUAUUCCAGUUAAUUAAAUGCUAAAUGAAAUUCAGAAUUCUGGCUUCUAGAGAUUCAACAAUCUGUUGCCAUGUGCUGCAAAGUCACAGAAUACAGUCCGAGAGCUUUCCUGAGGGGCUAGUAGUUGCUCAAGAAAUACUCAUUCCCUUCUGUUGAGAUCUCCUCUACAAAGCCAAAUGGGGUGAUGUCUGAGCCCUCUUCUUCCUCUGACAGAUGUGAGUGAAAGGUGUUUGCCAGUGGGGUGGGUGAGGGGUCUGGAAAGAACUCUGCGUCCCAUUCUACCUGCUGUGGGGUCAUCAUUCCUGAGCUCCCAUUUUGUGCGCUGAAAACAUGAAGCGUAUUUAGAUGAAAAUGAGAGAAAAAGAUCUAUUAUAACAAUUCUCUAUGUUGGAAUACUGUCCUGAUUUUUCUGUCUCCAGGAAUCAGAAUCAGGCAGUCUCUACUGGGCCUUGAUACCUACCCCUAACUAUAUGUAGUUUUCCGCUGAAAUGAGCACUAGCCAUUAUUACUGAGCACCUAUCAAUGUCAAGUGCUGAGCUAACUAUUUCAAACUCAAGUUCAUCCUCACAACAUCCCUACAUGGAAAGUAUUAUCACCCACAUGAUUCUGAAGCUCAGAAAUGGUAAGCAAGUUGCCUAGGGUCACCCCACUAGCAAGUGGUAGACCUAGGAUUCAUAUGUGUGCCUAUUUAAUUAAUAAUAUUAUUUAAAUAUUAAAUAACAAUUAAACCUACCAUUGGAAUUAUUUAUUCAAUAAAUACAUCAUUGAAUAUCAACUCCAUGCCAGGCACUGUACUAGGGGCUGACGUGAGAACUGUGUAUAGUUUGCAGUACUGGCUGCUGUCAUAUGAUCUAUAAAAAUAC